rnacentral:rRNA from 1 species
UGAGGAAUAUUGGGCAAUGCCCGAAAGGGUGACCCAGCAACGCCGCGUGGAGGAUGAAGGUCGUAAGAUUGUAAACUCCUGUUAGAGGGGAAGAAUAACUAAGUUUGGAGCUUAGUAUGACUGUACCCUCAGAGAAAGCCCCGGCUACCUACGUGCCAGCAGCCGCGGUAAUACGUAGGGGGCAAGCGUUGUCCGGAUUUACUGGGUGUAAAGGGCGCGCAGGCGGAAUGGAAAGUCAGUGGUGAAAUCCUACAGCUUAACUGUAGAACUGCCUUUGAUACCUUCAUUCUUGAGUUCGGGAGAGAGAGACGGAAUUCCAGGUGUAGUGGUGAAAUACGUAGAUAUCUGGAAGAACACCAGUUGCGAAGGCGGUCUCUUGGACCGAGACUGACGCUGAGGCGCGAAAGCGUGGGGAGCAAACA